rnacentral:misc_RNA from 1 species
AAAAGAUAUGAGGAUAUUUUGUUUUAAUGAUCAUACCAGUAGUUUUGAAAUUUGUAGCAUUAUCGGUCACGAUUUACACCACAUUUUCUGAACCAAUUUGCUCUACAACUCCAACGAAUAAUUUUGCCACAUAUUCAGCAUCUUCGAUGUUGCUAGUAGUAUCAAUUGCUUUCAUAAACAUCAGCCCUAAAACAUAAUAUUUAUUAGUAGAUGCUUCUA